UCGGUCUUCGAAGGACCCGGCCCACGUAGACCGCGAAGGCCGGGUCCUCCGAAGGAUGCAGCCGACGUUUUGGGACACAGCUUAUGUGUUAACAGACCUCUCUGCAUUGAAUCAUACUUGUUAUUUAUACUGGUUCUCUUCUACAGCAUUCCUAUGAUCAUGCCAAAGUGCUUGCUCAUAGUUUCUGGGGAGGGGAGGGGGGGGUUACCACUAUGUGUCACUUUUUUGGCUCUGGGCCCUAAAUGUGCCACUCUGAGGAAUUGUUGGACAAAUACAAGUAGUUGUAUUAAAAUACUCACAAUCAUAAAAUUAAAUAAAUAUGACAAACGAUUUCCCAACUGUUGCAGUAGAGUGCAUGCCCCAAAAAAUUAGUGUUAAACAUGCCAGAGGGGAGAGGCAGAGUUUCUCAGGAGUAAAGAUGGAUAGAAGUUCACUAUUCUGCAAAAAACUGUCUACAAAUUGUGGAAAACAUUCAGAAAAAUGUCAUCAAUGUAAAAUGGUGAAGAAGUCUUUUAUGACACAACUCUUUUCAAAUGUCCUACAUUCCUCAUCAGUUUCAGUCUUUGUGCUGCUCAUUUGCAAGCUCUUCUCGCAAGUAAUGCACUAGAUCCCCUUUGGGGGCUGUCAUAUUUACACUUUUAUUUUAAGUAUAUUUUUGCAAUAUAGUUCAUAUUGUCUUUUUCCUCAUAGGUCUGAUCAGAUUAGUUGGAUCUGGGUCCACUCUGUGCUCUGGAAGAGUUGAAAUAUAUAAGUAUAACUCUUACUCGUCCUGGGGAACAGGGUGCGAAUAGUGUGAACAGUAUAAUAACUGUUUUCUUCAUGUACUCAUCAAUACUUAAAUUCUGGUUUCUUUUCAUUCCAUCAUAUUUUACUUUCCUAGUUAUGAACAGAUGUUCAAAUGUCUUGCUUGACUACAAUUUGCCUUUUGAACAUCUCUGCAGUGUAGUGUAUAUUUAAAUAGAUAACACCUCAUUUGGAUCUUUUAAAUAUAUAAUUUUAACCUGUUAACUUUCUUAUGUAAACAUUUUUUAAAGUGUUUUCCAAUAAAAAAUGUAAAUACAAAUCAAGCUGGUUUUAUCUCAUUAGAAUAUGGGCAUAACUGCCAGCAGACACUAAAUCACGUACAGCAAUAAAAGAAAAAAGUGGUAGUCAGCUGCAGAGUGGUUUUCAAAUAACACUCCUUAAAUGAGAUUUGUCAUUUACAUACAUAAAGUAGUAUCAGCUAAGCCAUGAGCCAACAUGGCAGGCACUAAAAUGACCUGAUCUGUGCAUGACUGUGCCCUGUCUUAUCUAAUACAAUAUCAUUUUUUUUAGAAACCCUCCAAGAGCACAUGAUCUUCUUGUAUAGAGAUAAGACAUCAAGCAGCAGCCUUUUUUCUCAGUCAUGGACGGCAGAGAGAAGAGAGCGCUUCACUUCUUGAUCUUCGCUGCUUAUCUCGUGGUCUCAUCUUCACCUUCUGCAGGUCUGAUCAGAUUAGCUGGAUCUGGGUCCACUCAGUGCUCUGGAAGAGUUGAAAUCUAUAACUCUUACUCUUACCCUUACUAUUCCUGGGGAACAGUGUGUGAUGAUGGCUGGGACUUACAAGAUGCUGAGGUGGUCUGUAGCAGAGCUGUGGGAUAGCUCUGGAGGCUCUUGGGUCUGCUUACUUUGGUCAAGGUACAGGAACUUUCUUGCACAGUAAUGUGGACUGUUCAGGAAGUGAAACUUCUCUAGACAAUUGUAGGUACAGCAGCUAUAUUAGUUAUUCCUGUCACCAUGGUCGGGAUGCUGGCAUCGUCUGUUCAGGUAAGAAAACUUUUCUAUAAUGUUUAUGGUCUUAUCACUUUACAAUAGCUGUUUUUUUCAUGUACUUGUCAAUACUUAGAUUCUAGUUAGUUCUCAUUCCAUCAUAUUUUACUUUCCCUGAAAAUAUGUUCAAAUGAAUUAAACAAACAAAUUUAGGUGUUUGUUUCAUUACACUCACUUUGUCUGUUGAACAUGUCUGCAGCUUAAUGCAUAUUUAAUGAGAUAACUGAUUUGCAUAGUUUAAAGAUUCCAUGUUAACCUGUUUCUUACUGAAAAAAUGUUUUAAUAAUAUUUUCCAAUUAAAAAAUGUAAAUACAUAUCUUUAACGGUGAUUUUAUUUAAUUAGACAAACAGAAUUUUCCACUUCAGCAGCAAUUAGACACACCAAACUUUCUGAUGUUCUGACCUUUAUUUUGAAGGCUUGUGAAGAACUUUGAGCUCAGACGUCACUUAAAGCCUAAUUUACAGACUUUUCAUCUUGAAAAAGCGUGUUACCGUAAAGAUCCUAAAAAUGUGACUGUUGACAGUAUUUUCUAAUUCAUGCAAUGUUUAGAAAAAGUCAUUUUUCUUUUUAGACAGCAUUACAAUAUGUGCAGCGCAGCAUUUUCAGUGCUUGUCCAAAAAAGUGAACUCUUUAAUUUAAACAUUUCUCUUUAGCAGCAAUAACUUAAAACUAUUGUGUUCAAAAAGCUGCAGGGUUAAAAAAAAGUUUCCACCUAAGCCUAGACUUGUAGUCAAGACCGCCUAAUCCGAGACCAAGACAAGACCAGAGGGUAUCAAGACCAAGACAAGACCAAGACCGAGACAAAAAAAG